ACGGAGGGUGCAAGCGUUAUUCGGAUUUAUUGGGUUUAAAGGGUGUGUAGGCGGUUUAGUAAGUCAGUGGUGAAAUCGGGAGGCUCAACUUCGCGAUUGCCAUUGAUACUGUUAGGCUAGAGUAUAGUCGGCUUGAGAGGAAUGCGACAAGUAGCGGUGAAAUGCUUAGAUAUGUCGCAGAACACCGAUAGCGAAGGCAUCUCAAGAGGUUAUACUGACGCUGAGGCACGAAAGCGUGGGGAUCAAACAG
rnacentral:rRNA from 1 species